rnacentral:lncRNA from 1 species
GGGGAUUCACGACCCAAAUAUCAAAAUCAUGAUAAAUAUCUUUCAAGAUUCAUGCUUUAUAUCUCCACACAUGUAAAUUCAUCUUUCAAAAUCAUAAACAUAAAGAUUUCAUAAUAAUCAUCAUAAGAUACUCAUAUCUUUCCAUUGAUAUAUAGUAUCUCACCCAGAUCAUUGUAUAUGACGAGUUAUGAUCGUUUGAAGUUGACCCAAAAAUUCACUUUUGGUAGUCUGAAGUAGAUCAACCAUAACGUUUUACUCCGAUAUCCAAAUUGGAUGAAACCAAUUUUAUUAGAAAGAGGACUCGCGGAGCUUUCCGUUGAUAUAUAAUAGAUCACCCAGAUCAUUAUGUACAAGGAGUUAUGAUCAUUUAAAGCUGGAGAAAAAAUACGCAAGGCCUCAGUACUUUUUUCUGCACGUUUUACUGUUCACUACUAUUCACGGUUCGAUCGGAAUGUUCAUAACUCAUCGCUCGAGUGUCUAUUUUGGAUGAUCCACAUAUCGUUGGAAAUAUUAUUUGAUACUCUACGCAAUGGUGGGUUAUAAUAUUGAGACAUUCCGCAUAAAAAAAUUAUAAUUCAUUCUAGAGAAUAGAACCCAACACGUUUACGUACAAAAUUUCAACGAAAAAUUUACCGGGAUAUUACAUCAUCCCCCCCUUGGAAACAUUCAUCCUCGAAUGACGCUAGACAUGCCAAGAUUAGAUAGGGAAUAGAGCAUACAGAUGAAACCAUUCGUUAGACUCAUCACCACAUCGUUUCUCACUCCGAAUGCAACAUAGAAUGCAUAAAUUCAAGAAACUAUAGCUGAACACAUAAUAAAUGAUAGCUGAACUGCUGAACUUUUAUCAAAAGUGCAUGAUUUAGGAAAGAACGGUACCUUUGACUUAAUCGGAGUUCGUGGAAAAUAAGUGUGGGUACUUGGAUUGCAUAUUUACCUCAGCUUCCCAAGUUGCACCCUCAACAGAUUGGUUUCGCCACAACACCUUGACCAAUGGAACUUCUUUGUUCCUUAGACUUCAGACACUGAAAUCAAGAAUCUCAACAGGAAUAUCAUCAAAAGAAAGAUUUUCUUGAAUGUCAGCACGCAUAGAGGAAUCCACUACCACAGCAUCGCUUAUAUGCUUUCUAAGCAUGGAGACAUGGAAUAAUGGAUGAACAGAGGACAACUGGGAAGGCAACUCGACCUCAUAAGCUCCCUUACUAACUCGGCUAAGAAUUUUUGAAGGACCAACAUAAUGGGGACUAAGUUUUCCUUUCUUUCCGAAUCUCUUCACCCCCCUCAUGGGUGAAAUUUUCAGAUACACUAGGUCACCAACUUCAAACUCAAGGUCUCUCCUUUUAACAGCCGUAAAUGACUUCUGACGACUCUGCGCAGUUUUCAACAUUUCCCUAAUCAACUUAACUUUUUCCAUAGCCUCAAAUACUGAAUCAGGACUACUCACACACGCUCCACCCACAUCAAACCAACCUAUGGGUGAUCUACACUUCCUCCCAUAUAAGGCUUCAAACGAAGUCAUGCCAAUACUAAAGUAGAAACUAUUAUUGUAAGCAAACUCUAUCAAUGGUAAGUGAUCAUCCUAACUUCCCUUAAAGCCAAGUGCACAAGAUCUCAAUAUAUCCUCUAAGGUCUGGAUGGUCUGUUCAAUUUGACCAUCGGUUUGUAGAUAUAAAGCAGAACUCAAAAGCACUUGGGUACCAAGACCUUUCUGAAAAGUUUUCCAAAAUUGCGAAGUGAACUGAGUCUGGGUCUGAGGGCAAUAGUCACGACGCCCUUGUCCAUCCUGUGGACAAUCUCUAACUCUGUGACCCAUGUCACCACACCAGAAACAACCCCUCUUCUCACCCCAACACUCACCCGAAUGAGCCCUACCACACUUAGGACACAGGGGAUGAUUUGGCUUACUGCCAGUACUGUACUGGGACCUGGAUGCAUAUGACCUGCUACCUUACUCCUUCCUACCUCUAGGCAUAGGAGCACUAGUAGAUGAUGGUGCUAGCAUAGACGAACGAUCCUGAUACUGAGGGCGGCUCCCUCCCUGUGAUCUAGUCUUACCCUGCCCGUGCUGCUCGAACCUAGCUCUCUUAUUCCCUCUCAUUCUAUCUCUCUCCUUAAUCUUGUCUUCCUCAAUCUAUUGGGCAUGAGUCAUCAGCCUAGAAAGAUUCAUCUUACUAUUCAGCAUAGCAAACCUACACUCCUUAACUACAUAACUAGACACUCUAGUGACAAACUUACUCAUACUAGCCCGAUUAUCAACCACUAAGUCAGGAGCAUACUUGGCCAACUUGUCUUCCUCAAUCUAUUGGGCAUGAGUCAUCAGCCUAGAAAGAUUCAUCUUACUAUUUAGCAUAGCAGACCUACACUCCUUAACCACAUAAUUAGACACUCCAUCCACAAACUUACUCGUACUAGCCCGAUUAUCAGCCACUAAGUCAGGAGCAUACUUGGCCAACUGAUUAAACUUUAGUUGGCAAAAAUUUAGCAUGAGACACAUUUUCAUUCAAUGGGUCAGCGGGUUGAGGUUGCUAACCAUCAUUAUUUCUUCUCACUCGAUGUGGAGGCAUAUUUCUGAAAGAAAAGAGCACGAAUCAACAGCAGAGAGAGACACUUUAAACAUGAUAGACUUCUGAAAGAAAAAAUCACACUUUUUCCCAAAACAACUUGUAGCCUCUUGCUCAUAGAUGUGGCGCGCUACACACCGAUGAUCAAGACUCUACUUAACGUGGCUUGUCAGACUCCCUAGGAUACCUUAAAACCUUAGGCUCUGGAAAACAAGUCCCAAUGCGUCACACGGUGCUUGAGGCUACGAGUAGCCCCAAGCUAACCCUUUGAGCUAUUUUCAUUCAAUUUAACACAAAUCAAUGGGGUUUCCAUAAAAUAACCCUCAAAUAUCAACAGAGUAAUCAUCAUCCAAGAAUAAAUGAAUUUCAGAUAAAUAACAAAAUACGACUUAUUAGUCAACUCCCAACAUCUGUACUAGUCUAACAAGCGUCUAACAAAAUCAAUAAAACCAGCGAGCCAUUGAGACAUGCCCCAACUGACUCACACUCAGUUAUCAAAUGUAAAUAAUUCCGUGAAACCAACAUCAGACAUCACGUCCUUAGAAUAUGAGGACUCACCACAACAGAGGAUGUAGAACAGCGUGCCCGAAGAAUCACUGUCGAACCUGGAACUGAGCACCUAAACCUACAUUUCGAGAAAAUACAGCCCACAUCCAAAGAUGUGGGUUAGUACCAUAGAAAGGAACCGAGUAUAUGGGGGUGUGUGCAGUUGUAUAAAUAUUAUCAUCAUAAAUAUUUAUAAGAAAUAUGCAGGAUGUAUGAAAGACUCACAUAGCCCGAAGAAAAUCAUAAUAAUCAUGAGAGGAUGAAAUAAGUACAAUAACACAUGUGAGUCAUCAUAUAAUUUGUCAAUCACUUCAGUUCAUCAAGAAUAUCAAUUCUCAUAAUGUAAAUAUCAUUUAAAUCUUUUGAAAGAAUAACUUUCAUAAUUCCACUUUCAUAUCACUUCACCAUUCACCAUAGACACAAGGAAACACACACACACUGGGAGAUCCUAUAACCGACAUAAACCAUGUGAGCUACAUGGAGUUCAAUGUACAACCCAUGUUGAGGUGAGCCGUCCUAUCCUUACCAUCGGAGUAGGACUAUCAAUAUCAAAUCCACACAAACUAGUGAUCACUAUAUAAAUCAGCCUCAGGCUCACUCCUACGGGGGCAAAUAGUUCUAGGGAAGUAAGGUCGCUUUAUACUUCCCACUCGGUGCUAAAGAUUUCUCCCAUACUUAGCUCAGAUCAUUUCAAAGACAAUCCACAACAAAAUAGUUUCAGUAAUAUAUAAAUAUACAUCAGGAGCCAUCAUGCUUCCCAUCUAUGAAAAUCAACCACGUUGUGGAUUUUUUUCACACUGGAGUUCAAAGCAACUCCAUUAAGACCAAAAGGUCAAAUCAUUCAAAAUAUUUAAAAUAUUCAACAUCAACGUGCUUAUAACACACACUUUCUCAAAAAAACACAAUUUCUAAUGGGGAUUCACGACCCAAAUAUCAAAAUCAUGAUAAAUAUCUUUCAAGAUUCAUUCUUUAUAUCUCCACAAAUGUAAAUUCAUCUUUCAAAAUUAUAAACAUCAAGAUUUCAUAAUAAUCAUCAUAAGAUAUGGGUUCAUACUUCAAAUUCGUAAAAAAUCAAAUUAAAAUCAUGCCUUUGUAAAAAAAAUUACUUUUGGGCACAAGAAUGAAAGAGAGUUCUUGUUGAAAAACCUCACAUACCUUGAAUGAUGAACUUUAGAUCGAUAUUAAUUUUUAAGAUGUUAAUCGUGCCUUUGAAUGAUGGUUCUUGGAGUUCUUGAACUAGGAACUUGGAAUCUUGUAUAAAUUUGCAGAAUUAAUAGUGAACUUUAUAGGUUCUUGAAGUUGGAUGUAGGAGCUUAGGGUUUUCUUUUUGAGGGAAUUUGAUAAAAUAUAACAUAUAAUACUUCUAAUAGGCUUUAAUAUAGGGUUUGGAUAGAUUUUAGGUGAGGGAGAAUGACCAAAACACCCCUAAAAAUUAAAUAAUUCUCGAAUCUAUUCUUUGGCUAACUAUUUUGAUAGUCUAAAGUAGAUCAACCAUAACGUUUUACUCCAACAUCCAAUUUGGGUGAAACCAAUUUCAUUAGAAAGAGGACUCUCAUAUAUUUCCAUUGAUAUAUAGUAUCUAAACCAUAUCAUUGUGUACGAGGAGUUAUGAUCGUUUGAAGUUGACCCAAAAAUUCGCUUUUGGUAGGCUGAAGUAGAUCGACCAUAACUUUUUGCUCCAAUAGACAAAUUCGAUAAAAACCAAUUUCAUUGAAAAGAGGACUCGCAGAGCUUUCUGUUAAUAUAUAUUAUAUCACCCAGAUCAUUAUGUAAUAGGAGUUAUUAUCAUUUAAAGUUGAAGCAAAAAUACGUCAGGCCUCAGUACUUUUUCCUGCACAUUUUACUGUUCACUCCUAUUCACGGUUCGAUCGGAAUAUUCAUAACUCGUCACUCGGGUGUCCGUUUUGGAUGAUCCAUAUAUCAUUGGAAAGGUUAUUCGAUACUGUACGCAAUGGUGAUUCAUAAUCUUAAUACAUUCUGCACAAAAAAUUUAUAAUUCAUUCUAGAAGAUAGAACCCAACACAUUUACGCACAAAAUUUCAACGAAAAAUUUUCCAGGGUAUUACAGUAUCACUAUUCCUUAAAAGUUAAAUCUAUAUUCUACUAGGCCACAUCAUUGAUGAAAUCGUCCACCCGAGAACUCAAGUUUAAGACCCUUCAUAUGAAACUUCUAUUGUAAAGUACAUAGUUUUCACCCUUUCAACACUCCUCAUCGAGUUGUUCCCCACGCUGAUAUAAUCUAUAUCAUAUGUGUUCUACAUUUGGCUUCACAAAGUUUCAAUACAUUUAAAAACUUUACUUCAAUACUUUUAUGACUUUCCACAUACUCAGAUUCUUAAUUUUAAUGAUUUGUGUAGUUUAGUAAACUGUGUAUUUUUCAUCUAUUAAUCUCUGUAGAUAUUUCUCUUUUCUAUAUUAUGCAUUAGAAUCCUAGCCUGUUUUAAUCAAAGUGUGCACAAAUUAUGCGAGUCAUUCUUUUUUUUGGGGUUAACUAUCUACAUUUUAUUACCAAUGUGUUCUUGUAUAUCUUAAAGGGAAAAAAUGUAAACAAACGUUCCAUAUUUAGAUAUCCCCUGCUUGGGAUCUAUGUCUCUCAUCAUUUAACUUUCUAUAACAAAUCAAAUAGAACUAGCUUGACUUGACAAGAUAGCUAUUGAGUUGGCCAACACACUGUUGGAACUUUGGUUACAUAAUAGACCUCACAACUGGGAGUCAUUUAAAAAAAAUACAUAAUUAUGGUUUUGUAAUACAUCCUUAUUAGUCUUGAUUAUUUUCCACACGGUUGUGUGCUUCUAAAUACUUAGCAUUUGAGAAUCUGACUUAAUAAUUCCUCCCUUAUUACAAUUGAGUAGUUAUUUAUAUUCUUUUAUAAAAUUAAAAAUCUGCUUCUAACGGGUACAAUGGUAAGCCCGAAUCAAGUAAAUCCUUUUUAAGGGUCUUCCCGAUGAAGAAGAUGCAACACUUCAAAUUUUAUCAAUGAAAUUAUUAAUUUGACUACUGGAACAUACAUUAUGAUGAAAACUUAUUUUAGUUGAAUGGUAACUUUGUCUAUACGUAUCCCACUUUCUUGGAAUAUAUAGUUUAUGUUGUUAUUGUUGAUAAAUUUUCCUAUACUUGAAAUAGACAUAGACAUACGCUAUGUGUAUAUGUUGGUGGAUGUUGCUUCUCUGUAUUCACAUUCUCUAGAAUGGUUUAAGAAAUUUUUAAGUCAUUGUUCUUUUUGCUUUCAUGGAUACUGGGUGUUCAAGUUUAAAAUGUUGAUUUUGCUAGCUAAUUUUUGUGUUCAUGAGAUUUUAAACAUUCUUGCUUAUGGGAGUCUCCUUUAUAAAAACAUUUUGUUCAUAUAGCCUAGUUUAAUGUUAGUUUAUAUUUUGUAAUAAUCAGCACAAACUUAUUAUAUUUUUUGAAUGUUAAUACUCCAGACGUUUCAAUUUAUUCGUGUGAUUUUGACUUGACAAGAAAUUUAAGAAAGUAAAAAACCUUUUGAAUCUGGCCUUCAUACUCUUUUGAAUCUUGUCUUCUUUCGGUCUCCCAUUUCUACCUAACCUUAUUCCAGUUCAAUAGGGUUUGGAUACUGAAAUGGUUGAUAACACGAUGACGGAGUGAAGGAUGUUACUAAAAUGGAUUCUCCUAUUUUUGUACAUGCAUAUGAGGAUACAUGUAAUGUCACGACCCGAACCGGGGCUCAGGCCACAACGAGCAUCCCAAACUGAGAAGGCCUGAUAGCCUUUUCUAUCUGGCAAUCAUGCACAAUGUUCAUACAAUAUGAAGAAAUGCAGAAAAUUUUCAUAUGGAAACAUGGUCAAUCUCAUAAGUAAACUGAAUAAUACAAAAGGAAGCUCUUAGCAUUCAAAACACAUGACAUAAGUAUGUGAAAUCUCUAACAAUACAAGAAAUAAUAUACGUCUAAAAACAAGGAUAAUGCCCCCAGUCAAACCAUGAAACAAAAAAAAAUAGUAAUGUCCAAUAACCAAGACCUUCCGAAAUAAGGGAGGCUCACCAACUGCAAACUUCGAACAACCAAUCGACAACUUAGCGGGACUCGAGACUAUUUCUCAGAUCCUGGAAUAUAGGGGGUCAAUACAGAUGUACUAGUAUGUAGAGCAAUCUAAAAUAAUGUACUGAUAUAUAUAACAUAAGUGAGAGCAUUUAAUGAAAGGCAUGUCAUCAUAAAAUAUUUGAAAAUCCAUGGGCAUAAUUAAUAGACUUUAAAACAUUUUUGUAGAUCUCAACGCAACAUCUUUUACUUACUUCUGAGCUAGGUGGUACACCCUACAAGUCUACGACCCCACGGGCUAUAUGGAGUCCUCCCUUGACUUGACGGCCAAGACUCCAACCCAAGUUUUCCACAAGGUUUGGAGUUUCUUGAUUCUGAUACACCACAGGGCACUAGGCCACCAUAUAAUCCCUCUUUAAGGACAUAAUAACCCGUAUCAGUGAAACACAUAUUCGGGCAAUGAGUGUCUAUACUCAUGCCUUCUUCGGGUAACUACCUAACUCUCUUUAGGCUCAUUUUUAACCUUUUCUAAAUAUGCAUCUUUCUAAAUUUAAAAUCUAAAAAUCUGAAUGAAAUUUGUAUUUUGUUCUGAGUUUAGCAUGGCAGUAUCUGUUUUGGUAUCAUCAUACUAAGACUUGUAAGUCAUAUGUUCUAAGCCAUAAAAUAUCAUGUACAAUUAUUUCAUUUAAAACAAUGUUCACACCACCAAAAUAUUUCAACAAUAUAAGAGAAUUCAUAUUUCAAAACAUAUGUCAAACCAUGUAAAGAUUCUCAUCUUUUCAACAUUCCAACAAAUGGUGGUCAACUUCUCAAAACAAUCAUGAAAUUCCUUAUAUUAUAAAGUUUAUCAUUUAAAACAAGAUACUAUCCCCCUCUUCAAUUCUCAACCAUCAUAAAAUUCAUAUAAGAUAGUAAGGCUCUUGGCUUAUUCUUUAAAUUAUGCAAUUUAGGAACCCAUAACUUGUAAAUCAAGAAGUAACACAGUGAGAGAGGGGAAAUUCAUGCUCUCAAAUCUUAUUUCAAAACUCCAAACACAUACAUACAUAUGUACUAACAAAAAUCAAAUUUAAGGGGAGGCCUCCAGACCAAAACAAUAUUAUCAAAAAGGGAUCACAAUGCAUAAUUGUUAAUGUAAAUCUAAAACCCUUCAUAAAUACAUGAUUUCUCAACCUUAAAAACUUAAUCAAAACAAAUUCACCAUGCCCAUGCAGUUUAGGAAACCCCAUAUACCUUAUGUUGUUUAGUUUGAAGAUUGGAUUUCUAAUCUUGACCUUUUUCUUGAAAUCUUGAACUUAGAGGAAACCCUAAUUUCUCCUUUUUCUUGAGAGUGGAGAGGAUUAUGAGUGAUGAGAAACUGAUAUUUUAUCAAUUAAUAGGGUUUAAUGCGCUAUUUAAGUUGUGGAGGUGGGUUUGACAUGAGGAAAAUACCAAAAUACCCAUAAAGAAACCAAAGAAAAUUGCAGAAAUCUUCAGUUGACGACCAAGGUUGACGGCCCGUUAGUUAGGUGAUGGCUCAUCAACUAAGUUGUCACUUUUAGUCUUGAAUUCCCCUCUUUCUAUCUUAGGCUGAUGGCUAGAACUGAUGGGUCAUCACUUAGUUGACGGCUCGUCAGCUUAGUCAUCACCUAAGUGAUGGCUUAUCAACGUAGUCAUCACUUAGUUGACAGGAAGAUACUUCGAAGUAAAAUGAGCAUAACUUUCUACCAACGAUAUCAGAUUAAGCUGAAACUAGUGGAUUUGGAAAGAGGACAAAGAUAUUUCUUUUGGUACAUGGUAGGUCCUCUAAGUCAUUAUAUAUAGGAAGUUAUGGUCGAUGGAAGUUGACUAAAGUUUUGGCAUUCGCUAAAACUCAAUCGAUAGAAGUGUUCUCAACUCAUCUUUGAGUUAGGAGAUAUUGGUGACAUAAAUUCAUAUUCAAAGGUUUCCCNNNNNNNNNNNNNNNNNNNNNNNNNNNNNNNNNNNNNNNNNNNNNNUCGGGUCCAUACGCAUUGGAAAGACUUUUAAUUCUAGCCCAAAAUUAUGGGGUGUUACAUGCAAUCAAGAGCUUGCUAUUAAAUUGGAGGAUGAAUUAUAUCUUGAUGAAAAAAUGGGGAUUUCUCUCUUAUAUCUGAAUCCAUGGAAAAGGAUAGAGUAGAACUUGAUAAAAGCACCUACAAAGGAGAAACAAGUAAAUGAUUCCAAAGAGGCCCCCAACUUGAAUGACCUUUAAUUUAGUUAGUUGGAUGAGAUUUUUGUACAGACCCAGCUUUACUCAGAGUUCCUACUAGAGAAGAUAGAUAACAUUACAGUGACUGGAAUGGAAGAUGAAGAGAAAGGAAGUGAAGACAAAAAGAAGCUUCAUGGCAGAAAAAUAAGGGCGGCAACAAGUUAUAAUAAGAAAAAGGCCAAGAGAGUUAUUGUUGUCAUGCUGUUAAUAUCUAACAAAAAUGGUUCUAUUGAGGAUUCAACACUCAUAGAGAAGGCGAGAGCUGACAAGAAGCUACCUGAACUUGUACCCUUGGUGACUGACAGGUGGAAUAUGUUGGGUUCAAGAUCAAAGUGUGAAUGGAAAAUGGAGGGAACCAAGUAGAGGGGAAAAUUGGGAUAACACUCAAAAUAGAAAAUGUACUCAAAAAUGGGAAAGUCUACAAAAUUCUCCCGCAUUAGUGGGAGAAGAAAACUUUCAAAUGUUUAAAUUAUGUCUUAUGUUUGUUACUUGAUUGAGUCUUAUGAUUUGUGGCAUGAACGAUUAGGAUAUGCCAAUUACAAAAUAUUGAGAAAACUGAUUAACUUAGAAGUUUUACCAAACUUUGAGUACAAUAAAUCAAAAUGUCAAACAUGAGUGGAAUCAAAGUAUGCUAAGCAUCCGUAUAAGUUCGUUGAAAGGAAUUCCAAUCCCUUAGACUUAAUCCACACUGACAUUUAUGAUAUGAAGUCAACACCAUCUCGUGGUGGAAAAAGUAUUUUACAACUUUUAUUUAUGAUUGCACUAGAUACUAUUAUGUCUAUUUGUUAAAUAGUAAGUAUAAAGCAAUAGAUGCGUUUAGGAAAUAUAAAACAGAAGUUGAAAAUUAGUUAGAGAAAAAGAUCAAAAUGAUAAGAAUUGAUAGGGAGAAGAAUAUGGAUCUCCAUUUGUGCAAGUAUGUGUAGAGAAUGGAAUUGUCCAACAAACUACGGCCUCGUAUUCACCUCAAUAUAAUGGAAUUGCAGAAAGGAAAAACCGAACCUUGAAGGAAAUAAUGAAUGUCUUACUAAUAAGUUCAGUUUACCACAAAAUUUGUGGGGGAAGCUAUCCUUAUAGCUAAUCAAAUACUUAAUAGAGUGUCCCAUUGUAAGACACAAUCAAUCCCAUAUGAAAAAUAGAAUGGAAGAAAACCUAACUUGAAAUAUUUUAAAGUGUGGGGAUGUCUAGCGAAGGUCUAAGUUCCUAUAUCUAAAAGAGUAAGGAUAGGACCUAAGAUGGUAGACCGUGUGUUCAUAGGAUAUGCUAAAAGUAGUAAAGUAUGUCAGUUUUAGUUCAUAAAUUCGAAUAUUCAAAUAUUAAUAAAAAUACGUUAAUUGAAUCAGAUAAUGUUGAAUUUUUUGAACACACCUAUCCAUAUAAAACUAGACAUGAAUAGUCUAGUGGGGGGUCUAAACGACCUUGAGAUGAACCAAGUGAGGAUGUAAUAAUGAUGAGAAUCCAAGAUGUAGUACACGUCAAAGAACUUUAAUUUUGUUUGGAUCGGAUUUUGUAAUAUUUCUCUUAGAAAAUAAGCCUCAAACAUUUAAAGAAGCGAUGUCAUUGCCAGAUUCAUCCUUUUAGAAAGAGGCAGUCAAUAGUGAGAUUGAUUCAAUCCUAAGCAACCAUACAUAGGAGUUGGUUGAUCUUUCUUCAUAAAAUAAACCUUUAGGUUCUAAAUAGAUCUUUGAAAGGAAAAUAAAGAAUGAUGGUACUAUUGACAAAAAUAAGGUAAGACUUGUAGUAAAAGUCUUCAAUUCGAAUGUUAAUUGCCUUGGAGAUGGUAUAUGGUCUUGAAAUCCAUCAAAUGAAUGUAAAAAUAGCAUUCCUAAAUGGAGAAUUGGAGGAAGAAAUCUACAUGGAAAAGCCUGAGGGUUUUGUGGUUCCAAGAAAAGAAAAGAAAGUGUGUAAACUUGUUAAGUCACUUUAUGGAAUAAAACAAGCACCUAAACAAUGGCAUGCAAAGUUUGACCAAACCAUGUUGGCAAACGGAUUCAAGAUAAAUAAAUGUGAUAAAUGUGUUUACAUUAAAGAAACUACAAAUUACCAAGUCAUUGUUUGUUUAUAAGUGGAUGACAUGUUGAUCAUCAGUAGAGACAUUUCUAACAUAAAUGCUAUGAAAUGAAUACUUGAAAGUAAGUUUGAUAUAAAGACCUUGGAGUUACAGAUGUGAUCUUAGGAAUAAGAAUCCAUAGAACUCGGCAUUAUCACAGUCUCAUUACAUUGAAAAGGUACUUGAUAAAUUCAAGUAUUUGUAAUUUUGUAUUGCCAAGACUCCAUUAGACGUGAGCUUUGCACUUCAAAAGAAUAAAGGUAAAAGUGACUCACAGUUGGAAUAUGAAAGAGUAUUGGGAUGUUUAAUGUAUAUCAUGAAUUGUACACGACCAGACAUAGCAUGUUCUAUUAGUAAGUUGAUUCGGUAGAUGAGUAAUCCCAAUAAAACUCAUUGGAUGGAAAUGAAAAGAGUUUUGGGGUAUCUUAAAUGCACUGAAGACCAUGCUUUGCAUUAUAAUAAAUAUCCCGCGGUACUUGAAGGAUAUAGUGAUGAAAAUUGGAUCGAAUGAAGUAAAAUCCACAAUUGGAUAUGUAUUUACUAUAGGUGGAGAAGUUGUCUCUCGAAAAUCAUUCAAACCGACAUGUAUUACUCGCUCUACAAUGAAAUCAAAAUUUAUCGCAUUAGAUAAAGCUGGUGAAGAAGUAGAAUGGCUCCAAAAAUUUCUUGGAAUAUAUUCAUUAUUGGCUGAUACUAGUGGUACCAGCAUGUAUACGCUGUGAUAACCAAGCAGCAAUCGGUAGGGCAAGGGGCAUGAUGUUGUAACACCCUACAUUUUUUAGGGCUAAAAUUCAAACCGUCAUUCCUAUGCGUAUAGACCUGAACCCAAUGAUUCCUUGUUAAUAUAUGUAUGAUGAUUAAUCCUAUAGUGUGGGGAUAUCUUUGAAUAUGAAUUGAGGUCACAAAAAUCUCCUAACUCAAAGACGAGUUGAAAACUUUUCAAUCGAUUAAGUUUUAGUGAAUGAUUCAACUUGGGUAAAUUUCCAACGACUAUUACUCCUGGUAUAUAAUGAGUUACGUGGUCUACUAUAUAGCAAAUGUAAUAUAUUUGAGUCUUCUUUCCAAUGCAACUGGUUUCACCUUAAUCCAAUAUUGGAGUAAAAAUUUACACCCAUUUUACCAAAAGGUGUUCGUCACACAAGUAGGGGCCGAUCUGCACUAAUAUAAUGUUUUUAAAAGGGGUAUUUUGGUAUUUUACUCACCCCAAACUCCUCCCAAAUGAAUUAAAUCAUACCAUAAGUGUUAUUAUUCAUCUUUUAUCAGUUUUAAACAUCUCAUAAUCCUCUCCACUCUCAAGAAUAAGAAAUAAAAAUUAGGGUUUCUUUCAAGGCUAGAUUUCAAGGUUAGAUUUCAAGCGAAUUCAAAAUUUCUUUUCAUAAAAAUGGUAUGUGGGACUAUCCUAAAACUUCGUGGGCAUAGUUUACUAUCUUAAUAAUUUUAAAAGCACGAGAAUUAGCAUAUGUAAAGGGGUUUUGAAAAUUGUUUGAAUAGCAUGAAUCAUCUACCCAUUACGGGAAAAGUAUGUGUGUUUUUUCAAGAAGUUUUCAACAAACCCGAACUAGUUUUAUGUGCACAUAUAUUUGGGUUUGGAGAAUUUAAUUGAGAUCAUGAAUUGUGAAUUUCCUCUUUCGUCGUGAUAACAACUUGGAUUAAAGUAUUAGGGAUUGUUUAAUUGCAUGAUCUAAAAUACGGGUUAAAGGUUUUGUUAUCAAUUAUGCAUUUAACGUGGACUGGUUUUAAAAUAAGAGAAUGUUUGCUCGAUAUAUAUAUAUACUUUUCCUGUUAAACUAAAGAUAUUGCAUGUGAAAUAUGAAAGAGUUGGCUACUUUAUGUAAAAAUCUUGAAAGUACGAUGCUUUGCAUAAUUUUUCUAUGUUCCUACUAUAAGAAUUUUUAUAUGUUGUCUGAAUCUUUUGGUUGUCAUUAAUGUAUUCUUAACUAAUAAAAGGGCUUUGAGAAGUUAUGAUAUGAAAUGGCUUGCAAGUCUAGGUAUGACAAUACCUAAUUACGAAGAUCCCUCAAUAUGAAAUAAAGGUAUGUUUAAGAACACAACAUGAUCAUAAUUUUUAAGAACUAAAAAAAGGCUCAAGCGAGUUAGAUGAUUACCCGAAGAAGGCGUGAGUUCAAGUAACUCAUAGCCGGAAACCAUAUUUUGCCAGUGCAGGUUUUAUGAAAUGACAUGUUAGUAAGAAGGAAUGUCUCUUCAUAGUAUGGUGUGUCAGUAAGGAGACACACUCUUCCAUGACCUAGCAUGUCAAUAAGGAGGCAUGCUUCAUCUUAUUACAUACUCCAGUCCUUGUGGUAAACUUGGAUUAGGGGCUUGGCCGUGGAUUUAAGAACGGAUCUUAUAUAGACCAUGGGAUUAUAGAAAUGUAGGAUGUACCAUCUUGCUCGGAACUAUAACACAGAAUGGAGUUUAACAAGUUAUAUGCACAGUUUUUAACUCUUCAUAUUAUGCCCAUGUGUUUUCAGUUACUUUAUGUUAAACUAUUUUUAUGAAAUGCUCUCACCUAUGUUUUAAAAUUAUAUGUUAUUCUAGAUUGUUUCUCAUACCAGUACUUUUGAGUAUUGACCCCCUAUAUUUUAGGGUAUGGGGUUCAGUCCCAUGGUCCUUCACAUCAAUUGUUCAUAUAGGAUAAUGACAGAGUUGGUGAGCCCUCAAUCUUUUGAAAGGCAUGUUAUUCAAAUAUUUAUCUAAUUCAGUUUAUGGUCCAGCUGGGGGCUUUGUCCCAGCCUAGAUAGUUAGUGUUCAGUAGAGGCUACGUAGAUGGAAGUUGAGAACUUUAUUGUCACAUUUUGUUGGCAAGGUUGUAUUAUAAAUGUUCCUUGAAUUUUAUUAUGUCUCCGCACUUUGAUUAUGUUUGGAUUAUGCUUGUGAUAGUAUGUUAAAGGGUCUCUCGGGCCUUUGAGGUUCAGGAUGCCCGUCAUGGCCAGGGCCUCAGUUCGGGUCGUGAAAAGUUUGAUAUCAUAGCACGGUUCAUGGUCCCAAGGUGUCUACUAAUCCAUGUAGAGUAGAGUCUUUUUUAUGGGUGUGUGGCGGCCACACUUAUAAGGAGAAAGCUAUGAGGCAUUUAUGAGAUGCUUUCCAUUGUUUCAUACUCUAGAUCAUGCCCUUGUGUUGUAGGGGGUGCGGAUCUAUGCGGAUAACUAACUUAUGAAAUAGAUCUAUUAUAUGUAUAAUGAAUCUAUUUUUCUUUGUGCAUGGAUAUUUCUUAAAUUUUGUUUCAAUAUCUUUUAAUGAUUUAUUCGUUUCAUAAGAUGUAUUCAUUAAUUUGUGUGGCUUAUUAUUUUAUCCUGUAGUUAUUGCAGAGUUACAGAUUUCUGUAUAAUAAUUUAUCCUAAUUGUACUGUAAUGUAUAUCUAAUUCUAGAUUUUUAAUGUUAUUUAUUAUCUUGUGUUGUUCUUCUCGUAGCGAGUUUUUUAAAUUAUAUAAACUAUCACAUGUACUUUUUUCUAAAUUUUCUAAGGUUUCUUCUAUCCAUAUUAAUAUUUCUUUUAGAUUCUCCAUUAUUUUUCUAAUUUGGUUUUUAUAAUUAAUUUUUUUAUUUAGAUUNNNNNNNNNNNNNNNNNNNNNNNNNNNNNNNNNNNNNNNNNNNNNNNNNNNNNNNNNNNNNNNNNNNNNNNNNNNNNNNNNNNNNNNNNNNNNNNNNNNNNNNNNNNNNNNNNNNNNNNNNNNNNNNNNNNNNNNNNNNNNNNNNNNNNNNNNNNNNNNNNNNNNNNNNNNNNNNNNNNNNNNNNNNNNNNNNNNNNNNNNNNNNNNNNNNNNNNNNNNNNNNNNNNNNNNNNNNNNNNNNNNNNNNNNNNNNNNNNNNNNNNNNNNNNNNNNNNNNNNNNNNNNNNNNNNNNNNNNNNNNNNNNNNNNNNNNNNNNNNNNNNNNNNNNNNNUUUUUUCAAAAAUUCUAGAUAUAUGUAAUUUAUCAUGGUAAGUAUUUGUAAGAGUAGUUAGGUAGGUAUGGUAUGUAAUUUAUUCUAGUCAUAUAAUAUUUACCAAAUGUUUUUUCUAAUAUGAUUUUUCUUAUAUCUGCUACUUUUAUAUCCUUAAGUGCAUACAAAAUAAGUAUUUUAAAUUUAACUACCAUCACAUCAGAUACAUAAUUAUUCAUUUUCAUAAAAUUGCUAUUUUCAAAAUAUUACCUUCAAUCAUGUACAUAACGAAAUAUGGUCAUCUUAGAUUACUAUAUACUAGAUUAUUCUUAAAUAACAUGUUCUUCGAUCACUAUUAGCAUGGUAAUUUGGAUACUUUUCCCUUAAACAGCGCCUCUACUCUGGUUACUCCCCACCACGGCUUCUUGCCUCAUUGGUUUCACCUUUAGGAUGGCAUAGUUCUUAGGGAUUUUUCUCCGUUUCCACUUUGCUAAUAAACUUCUUAACAUAUUAUUCUUUGAAUAAUUCUACUAUAAAGUAACUAAUAUGAAUUUAUUUUAUCAUACCAUGAUUGUUGGGAAUUAUGAAUUUAGCUAUUCAUAAUCAUAAAUAAAUAUACCUGUUCGGGUAGGUUUGAUAUUUCUGAGGUUUGUUCCUCCGUAGCUUUUUCCAUUGAAAUAUAUCUAUUUUUUAAUUAACUAAGCAAACAUUUGUUACAGAUAUCAUGCUUAAGGGUAGAGAUAUGUAGCAGAAUAUUGGUACAUUAUUUCCACCUUAGUAGUAUUAUAUGAUAGGGUACCAUGACCUAUUGGUAGUAAAAUGGUCCAAAGGUUAGUGAUAUGGAGUCUCAAUUUUAGGAAUCAGAGUGAGGAUGAAUUUUGCAUUAAUAAGCUAGUUUUAGUUGUAUAACCUUUUAUUAAGGGAUGGGUUGCCAUUUUAUUGUGAUAGACUAAUGUGGUAGCAAUAUUUAUAGAUUGUAUGGUAGUCUGUGAAGGAAGUGACUGGCUAUGAUUAUUAUUUAUUCAAAAUAGGAAAGGAUCUCAGAAUGGAUAGUUAUGGUGGUUGUAGAAAUCAUUUAUAGGUUAUGACUAGAAAGAGGUAGAUUAGUCAAUAAUUUAUGGGUAGAGACUCAUUGGUGUAAAUGAAAUUUGAAGGUAGUCUAAAUGUAUGCAUAGGUAAGUAAAUAUGAUGUGAGAAAGUGGAAUAUAUUGAUAAGAUCGUAAUGGUUUAUAUUAUAAGAUUAAGAUCGAGUGUCCCUAUAUGUGACUUUACCCCCCUUAAUUGUAUUUUUCUCUAGUAGUUGUAAACUAGUACUACAAUGUGAGAAGGUGUUUGGUAGGUUCUAAGAUGUAGUAAUAUUGUUGUGGAGAGUUUUGUGAAAUAAGAGACUCGGAUUGAUUUUCCCAUUUGGUAGACUGGUAUAAUAUGCGACAUGCUUUAUCGACAUUACAUUAUUGGUGUUAGACAAUAGGAUUGAACUUUAUAUGUGGAUUAUGGUGGUAAGAAUAGUAGCUUAAGAUUAAUGACAUGCAUUUUGUAGGAGUAAGUCAGUAGGCUAGAUUUGAUGUAUUCAAUAUCCUAGGUUGGUAACUUGUGGAAAAAAUGAAUGGAUACUUGUGAAAUAUGUAUAGUUGUGGAAUGGUGUUAAAAUGAUAAAUUACAGCUGAGUCAUUAGGUGGAUAUGAGCAUUAGGUCAUAUGAGAAUAAGUUGGACCCAAGUAGCAUGUUGUUAGAAGUGGUUUUAUGUGUAUAAGUGUCAUGCGUAACUAGCUUAUGUUCUUGAAUUUCUUAAUAUGGAGAGGGUUAAAGAGCUGCUAUAUGGUGCUAUUUAGAGUUGAAUUAAGGGAAAUAUAGAUAGACGAUGUGAGCUCUUAGUCUAGUUUAAAAAUAUUUGUUAAAUUAUGAGGGUAUGCAGUUAGAGGUGUAAUGCUAGUAUACUAAAGAAUGAAGAAUUGAUUGUUAUGUGUUAAAGAGGGUGAAUGUGUAUGCUUAUGAGAGUGUGAGUUAUAGGAAGAUGCUUAUGGAACCUUGCAAACGUUAAGAUUAGUGUCCCUCAAAUGUAGUGUCUUAAUAUUAUAGUGCUCAGGAGAGUUUGGCAUUCACGUAUAUAGUGAUAACCCAUUGUUUUGAGUGGUGUGCUCUUAGAUUUAAUUAGAGGAUAUAUCCUCAAGUUCAGGAUGGUGACUGAUCUAAGGGGGAGAUAAUGAGUUAAGGUAGUUCCCAAAUUUUCUCAUGGUGACAAGCUUCAAGGAAGAGUCAUGAUAAAUAUAUUCCUAUUCAAUCAAACUUCUCCUACUUCAAUUUAAGAGGUCAUUCUACUAAUGUCUUAUGUAUUCAAGUCAUGUCUAUGCCUAUAGUUCGAGUCAUCUAUGCACUUAUGUUCAUGAUCUGACCUCCAAACCAAUAAUAAUGUCCCCUAGUAAUCCAUUCUUUCAAGUAUUCAAGCUCUAUGUUAUGAUGUUCCUGAUCCAUAAAUCCAUGUCUCACAUCAUGCCUGGUACUAAGAAACUAUGCUUUUUAUAUAUUAUUGAUUUAUUUUAUGUCGGGAUUAGCCAAAGUGAUAAGGUUCAUGCAAACUCAUGACUAUCUCAGCUCUGAAAAUGAGAAGCAAUAUCUCCAAGUAGCAAUCCCUAUCUCAAUCAUUGACUUCAUGAAUUCUACCUUCAUGUUAUACAACUCAUUAUAUAGGCAUUCAUGCUUCUCUCUGUGAUCUUUCCUAAGAACUCAUGCCAUGUUAUAACUCAUGCCAUGUUAUGUUUAUGCCCGAACGACUCUCUACUUAAGAUCCAGACACUUGAUAUAUGAAGCACCUUGUGUCAAUUUUAUCAUAUAUUUACCUCAUACCCCACCUUGAGCAGUGCAAUAAGUAUAAGUUAUAGUUGAAUAGUGUUAAUGCUAUUCAUGAUGCUUAUGCUCGGAUCCCUCAAUGACCCUCCGAAUAAUAGUAUAAUAGUAGUUAUGGAAGAGUAGUAGUGACUUAGGUAGGGGGAGUAGAUGUUCUUGAAUGUGAAAGUUUUGAUGUGAUCUUUGUAGCUAAGGUUAUAGGUGAAGGGGAAGAAUGAGCUGAAAUUUUGUUAUGUGAAAUAGUUAGGAAAGAUAUAUGUGGAGAAAAUCUGUGUGAUAGUGAUUGAAUGUUCUAAUCUUAGGAGGGAGAUUCAUGAAGUGUGUGUAGUAAUGAUAGACUUGAAUGUUAUGAUUAAUGAAAAUACAAACUCAUGUACUGUGUGGUUAGUACUCCCUGAAUUAAAACUUGAAAGUUGUUUGAUCAUAGUGAUAAAGUGAAGAAAGAUUCUUAAAGGGGUGUAGAGUAUAGGAUCCCACAGCUUAAGCUAGCAACUCUUUACUCUGGGAUACGCUUCAAUAUGGAAGUAAUAAGCAGUUAGACUCAAGAUCUUGUAGUUACAUAUUUAGCGGGAUAUUUAUAAGAUUGAGAUGUUGAAAUGUGGUAUUCAUAGAUGAAUGAAUAGUUGGGAAGCAUAGCAAAUUUAAAGGCUAUUAGGCGUAUCAAUUGAGGUAGAGAAUGUUUCUAUUUUAUUCUUAUAUCCCUCAAGAAUCUCAGUUCAUGUCUUGUACCAAUCUUAACUAGGCAGAGGAUUCUUAGGAAAAUUCAUGCCUUACAAUGUUAUAAUCAUGUUCCAUAGAACACACGCUAAGAUCAUGUUUAUGUCAAGUCUCGUUAUCUCAUGAUUUGUGCUUAUACAAUUUACUCGGUGAUCCAUGAAGCUCUUCUUGAAUACCUAUGAAUGUUUCAUUGAGGAAAAUAACAUUUCCUAAUACGAGGUUACAACAUUUAUUCCAUACUUCUAUAGCUUCAACAAAAUCCUACCCAUCAUUCGAGGAUGAAUGAUUCCAAGGGGGAGAUAAUGUAACACUCUGUAUUUUCUUGGGCUAAAAUUCAAACCAUCGUUCCUAUGCAUAUGGACCCAAACCUAAUGAUUCCUUGUUAAUAUAUGUGUGAUGAUCAAUCCUAUAGUGUGGGAAUAUCUUUGAAUAAGAACCAAGGUCACAAAGUUCUCCUAACUCAAAAACGAGUUGAAAACUUUUCUAUCGAUUAAGUUUUAGUGAACGUUUCAACUUGGGUAAAAUUCCAAUGACCAUUAAUCUUGGUGUAUAAUAAGUUAUGUGGCAUAAUAUAUACCAAAUGAAAUAUCAUCGAGUCUUCUUUCCAAAUUAACUAGUUUUACCUUAAUACAAUAUUGGAGUAAAAAGUUACGCCCGUUUUACCAAAAGGUGUCUGUCACCCAAGUAGGGGGCGAUCUGCACUAAUAUAACAUUUUUAAAAGGGGAAUUUUGGUAUUUUCCUCGCCCCAAACUCCUCUCACAUGAAUUAAAUCAUACCAUAAGCAUUAUUAUUCAUAUUUUAUCAGUUUUAAACAUCUCAUAAUCCUCUCCACUCUCAAGAACAAGAAAAAAUUAGGGUUUCUUUUAAGGCUAGAUUUCAAGCGAAUUCAAAAUUCCUUUUCAUCAAAAAAGUAUGUGGGACUAUCCUAAAAUAUCGUGGGCAUAUAUUACUAUUUAAUUAAUUUUAAAAGCAUGAGAUUUAGCAUAUGUAAAAGGGUUUUGAAAAUUGUUUGAAUAGCAUGAACCAUCUAAGCAUUACGAGAAAACUAUGUAUGUUUUCUCAUGAAUUUUUCCACAAACCCGAACUAGUUUCUUGUGCACAUGUAUCUUCGGUUUGAAGAAUUUAAUUAAGAGCAUGAAUUAUGAUUCCUCUUUCGUCAUGAUAACAAUUUGAAUUAAAGUAUUAGGGAUUGUUCAAUUGCAUAUUCUAAAAUACGGGUUAAAGGUUUUGUUAUCAAUUAUGGAGUUAACGUGGAUUGGUUUUAAAAGGAGAGAAUUUUUUCUCGAUAUAUAUGCACUUUUCCUGUUAAACUAAAGAUGUUACAUGUGAAAUAUGAAAGAGUUGGCCACUUUAUGUAAAAAUCUUGAAAGUACAAGCUUUGCAUAAGUUUUCUUUGUUCCUACUAUAAGAAUUUUCAUAUGUUGUCUAAAUCUUUUGGUGGUUACUAAUGUAUUCUUGAGUAAGAAAAGUUCUUUGAUAAGUUAUGAUAUGAAACGGCUUGCAAGUCUAGGUAUGAUGAUACCUAAUUAAGAAGAGCCCUCAUUAUUAAAAGAAGGUAUGUUUAAGCACAUAACAUGAUCAUGAUUUUUAAGAACUAAAAAUGGGCUCAAGAGAGUUAGUUUAUUACCCAAAGAAGGAGUGAUUUCAAGUAACUCAUAGUCAAAAAUCAUAGUUUUCCAGUGCGGGUUUGAUGAAAUGACAUAUCAGUAAGGAGGCAUGUCUCUUCAUAGUAUGGUGUGUUAGUAAAGAGACACACUCUUCCAUGACCUAGCAUGUUAGUAAGAAGGCAUGCUUCGUCUUAUUAUGUACUCCAGUCCUAGCGGCAAACUUGGAUUGGGGGCUUGGCUGCCGAGGUAAGGACGGAUCUCAUAUAGCUCGUAGGAUUAUAAAAAUAUAGGGUGUACCAUCUAGCUCCGAACUAUAAGACAUAAUAGAGUUUAACAAGUUAUAUGUAUUGUUUUAAACUCUUCAUAUUAUGCCCAUGUGUUUUCAGUUACUUUAUCUUAAACUAUUUUUAUGAAAUGCUCUUACCUAUGUUGUAUGAUUAUUUGUUAUUCUGGAUUGUUUCACAUACCAGUACUUUCGAGUAUUGACCCCCUAUAUUUUAGGUUCUGGGGUUCAAUCUUGUGGUCCAUCACAUUAGUUGUUCAUAUAGUAUAAUGAUCGAGUUGGUGAGCCCUUCAUCUUUUGGAAGGCAUGUUAUUCAAACAUUUAUCUAAUUCAGUAGAUGGACCAGUCGUGGGCUUUAUCCCAGCUUAGAUAAUUAGUAUUAAGUAGAGGUUUCAUAGAUGGAAAUUGAGAUUUGUAUCUCACAUAUUGUUGGCAAGGUUGUAGUAUAAAUGUUCCUUGAAUUUCAUUAUGUCUUCCGCACUUUAAUUAUGUUUGAAUUAUGCUUAUGCUAAUAUGCUAAGGGGUCUCUCGGGCCUUUGAGGUUUGGGAUGCCCAUCGCGGCCAGGGUUUCGAUUCGGGUCAUGACAGAUCUACAAUGGUAAAUCUUGCCAUAUAAGAUGGAGACAUAAUACCGUUGGAGAACUUCUCUCUAGUGGAAUUAUCACUGUUGACUAUGUAAAGUCAAAUGAUAAUGUGCCGGAUCCACUUACAAAAGGCAAUUCUAGAAAAAGAGUUGAGAGGACAUCCAAGGGAAUGGCUUUACGGCCUAGGACAAGUCAACAUGGUGGUAACUCUACCUAGCAGGCUAGAGAUCCCAAGAUCUAGGUUUAAGGAGAUCAAACAAAGUUAUGUCUGACAGUUUCAACAUUGUCAAUAUAUCCAAAUCAUUCUCAUGAUGUAGACAAUGUUUAGUAAACAAGGAUAAGACUGAUGGAAUGAAGUCUUUUAAUCAUUAUUUAAAUUUGGCAUAUUUGGCCAAAUAGUUUAAUCUACAAAAUUGAAUAUUUAAAAAUCAACUAUGUAAGGGAAAAGUAGAAGCCGCUUCAAGGAGAAUGUUAGUAAAGGCCUAUUCUCCAAGGUCUCAUGAUACCGGAAUAUGUUUAUGGCUGAAACAAAAAAACCAUAAGAACCAUAAAUGGUAAAAGGCUGGUUGUGUGACAUGUGUUGUCUAGGUGUACAUUAAAGCUCGAUGGUGCAAAGAUAUAAAAUCUACCGAUUGACCGAAGACAUCCGAUGCAUGUUCAUGGAAAGUUCAAAGGGAAACCUACUUAUCCAGAUGCAAUCAAUGUUUUCCUGAUGAUCACAUACUUGUUCGUAAAUUUUUAUGAAAAAGUAGUCAUUCCCCAUUCAUGUGGGGGAUUGUUGGGUUCAAGAUCAAAGUGUGAAUGGAAAAUUGAGAGAACCAAGUGGAGGGAAUAUUGAUAUAACACUCAAAAUGAAAAGUGUACUCAAAAAUGUGAAAGUCUACUAAAUUAUCCCACAUUGGUGGGAGAAGGAAACUUUCAACUAUUUAAAUUAAGAAACACAUACUCCACAUGGUAAGUGAGGCAAGAAACAAAAGAUGCCAUGCGCCAUCAUCCUCAUCGUCGCUCGUCUCGGCUUCAGCUUCAGCUUUAAAUUUGGAUUUGGAUUUGUCAAAUGAUCGAUCAAUAAAGUUAAUAUUUAUUUUCAACAUAGGGAAAAUUCAGUCUGAAAAAACCAAAGGAAAAAUGCAAUAGUUUUGUUGCAGUUUUUGAUCCUUAACUAUCGUGUAUGCUUCUAUAUGCAGUAAUGAUGGUUACGGUUGCUAGAAAACACACAACUCUUCGACUAAAAGACACACUAUUUCGGGAAAAGGUAUGACUAUUUUGGAUAGCUGUGGCUGUUCAAAAAAGACACACACUUUCUGAUGAACAGACAUGAUUGUUCAGAAAGUAUACACCUUUCUGGUGAACCAUUGCCACCUUUCGGAAGAGGCACCUAAUGGCUAUGUAAACCUACAUUUGUCCACAGGUUUGGAUACAAAAUUUUCCACAUUUACAAAACACUUCUUGUCUUCAAAAUACUUUAUUUUAUCAUCUAAUCAUUGAGUGAGUUCAAAGAAAAUCCGAUCAUUUGAGGUACCUCUACAGUUGGAUUGUUAGGCCAUUUUAUCUUGGGAGAGAAAAUUCUGCAACCUGGGGUACUUGAGGAGAAUUAUUUCCUUAAGAACACUUCGUGAAGUUGAAGGACUUGUCCUUUUUCUGUUUCAUCUAAUUUUCUAAAAAAAAAACAAAUUUCUUUGGAAGGUAUUUUUGACCUUGUGUUGAUGGUGUUACAUAACUUCAAAAGUGUUCUUGUUUUAUACUUGAACUUGUGUUGAUGUUGUUGUGCCGAAAUACACAUUUUUUGUACCCGAAAAUUAUAAUCUUAAGAAAAUAACUAUAAUCUACAUUGUUUGGUUUCUGGAAAUUAAAGUUUUAUGCUUUCUACUUUGUGUGAACUUAACAAGUGAUUUGAAGACACAAAAUAUUCAUCACAAGUUAAAUAUCACUCGGUUGACGAUUGAAAGUCAUAAAAACUUCAUCGUUAAACUAGAAAGAAGGGGUUUUUAAAAUUGCUACAAAUUUAUUAAGAGUAUUUUGAUAUACUAAACUUAUUGUUUUGUUGUGACAGGAAAAUGACUGCUUACAGUCAAGUGAAUGAUGCUGCAAUGACUGUGGCAGCAACUAAUAUUGCCACAACGAGUCGUACGAGUGUUUCGCAGGCAAUGGCUCCAGCGAAGAAACCCAAAAAAUUUAUGGAUGUGGACUUUAAAAGGUGUCAAUAGAAGAUGAUCUUCUACUUUACAACGUUGUGCCUUCAGAUAUUUACAUCUACAUCUGAAAAAGCUCCAGGGGUGCCCGAAGGAACUUCAGACAUGUAGAAAUUUAUCGCUAUGGAAGCGUGGAAACACUCUAAUUUCCUAUGUCAGAAUUACAUUCUAAGUGUCCUCUAAGAUUACCUAAACAAUCUGUAUAGUGGACUAAAGAUGGAAAAAGAGUUGUGGGGGCACUGGAAAGAAAAUACAAGACUAAGGAUGUGGUAACCAAAAAGUUCUUCGAUGUAAGAUUCCUAGAGUUUAAAAUGAUUGACAGCAAGUCUAUUGUAUCUCAAGUCCAGGAACUUGUGGAAGGUAUGAUUUUGAUGAAUACUGUUGUUGAAUAUAUUAAAAAUAUUCUUAAUGUUCACAUGAACUUUACUGUAGGUUUGGUUAUGAUGAAGCGUUUCAAGUCGCGGCAAUAAUAGAGAAGUUACCACUGUUGUGGAAGGAUUUCAAGAAUUACUUGAAACAUAAGAGAAAGGAGAUGAUAGUCGAAGAUCUUAUAGUAAGACUUUGCAUUGAAAAGACAACAAAGACGCAAAAAGAAGGUCAAAAGGAAAUUCUGCAAUAAGAGGAGCAAAUAUUGUAGAAGGCGACCACAACAACUCCAAAAAAAUGGAAGAAAGCUGGACAGGGAAGCAAUCAACCCAAGAAGAAAUUCAAGGGAAAAUGCUUUAACUGUGGCAAUAUUGUCCAUAAGUCAAUAGAUUGUAGAGCCCCAAAGAAAGGGAAAAAGAAGGACUAAGCAAAUAUGGUUGAGUCCAAGAAAGAAAUGGGCGAUCUGUGACCCAUGCUAACUGAAUGCAACUUGGUGGGGAAUCCUUGAGAAUUGUGGAUGGAUUCCAAUGCCAACCACUAUAUUUGUGUUUAUAAGGAUUUAUUUGCUGCUUUUGCUCCUACUCAAGGCAAAUAAAAGAACUAUAUGGCCGAAUCUGUAGCUACAAAAGUUAAAGGGACAGGAAAAGUCUACCUGAAAAUGACAUUAGGUAAAGUGUUAUAUUUCAAAGUUUGGGGGUGCAAUAACUGAACUGAUAACUACAUUAUGAGAUAAUGUAGCACAUAGACAUAUAUGUGGAUUGGUACUUUGAGGAUGUACUGAGUAUAUGAGGGUGAAUGCAUAAGUAAAACAUAAUAUCAAUCAUCAUAAUUUGUAAAACAAUGCAUGCUAGAUAUAAAUGACUCAUAUAAGCUGGAAUAUCUGAAAUACUGAAGAUCAUGAGUAACAAGUCAUACUUCAUAAAUCUAUUGAGUCAUAACAUUUAGUUCUAAAAGUUGUACUUACAUUCUCUCUUUAAAUCAUAAUGUCUAAGUGUAUAAAGGACUCACUUUUUUUGAAGUCUGAAACUAAUAUCUUUCUGUAAAGCAUAAUCUGAGUAAGUUUUGUGAGCCUUUACACUUAGUUUUAUAAAAGCUUUCUGUUAUUCUUUUCUAAGAAACUAUUCUAAAAAUCUUUACCAUAAAGCUGUAAGGAAAAAACUUCAUCUUGUGGCUUUAAACCAAUAGACUAUUUUAAGAGUAGGGGACAUCUUUUUAGGAGAUUCUUCUAAUUGACAUAAACCAUGUGAGCUGACAUGGAGUCUAACAUCUUUCCCACGUUGGGGAGAGCUGUUCUAUCUUUUCCAUCAGAAUACAACCUUAACUUAAGUGAUCACUAUCUUAGCCCACUAUAGGCAAAUCAUAAAAACCUUGGAAUCAUAUCCAACUUGGUGCUAAAUACUACUCCCAUACUUAACGCUCAGAACCUUUAGAAAAUCCACUUUAAAACAGCACAAAGGUUUAUAAUAAAAACCAAUUAUACUUCUCUUAGCUUUAAAUCAUAAAUUGUAUGAAUAAUGUGGAUUCCUAUCUUUCCUUGGAUCAAAAGAUCAACUUUCUUUAUCAAAAUCUAAAAAAUAUCUAAUCAUGGAAUGCUUAAAACAUAGUCAUUCUUGAAAUGUCAACAUACAAACUAGGGCUUAAUGACCCAUGCUUCAAUUUCAUGUCAAACGCCACAAGGUUCAUGCCUGAUAAUACAAAUAUUCAUAAUUCAACUUAAAAUCUGGAAAAUAUGACCAUAAGCAUUAAUUUUUCGAAAGUAGACAUGUAAUUCAAUAUCCAAAUCACUUAAAAUCUCUAAAUCAUGCAAUUAGCAACAUUGGGUAUAAACCCUAACUUAAAUUUCAUGGAAAUCAUACAAAAUUCAUCAAAUUUGUAAUUUAAAGUAAGCUUUUGGGCACAAGGAUGAAAGAUUUAUCCUUAUUCAAAAUUCCACAUUCCUUGGAUGAUGAAAUAGAUGAACAAGUUUGCUUUUGGGAUUCUAUUUGUUCCCUUAAAUGAUAAUUCUUAGAAUUCUUGAAUUGGGAACUUUGAAUCUUCAAUUAAUUUGGGAAAAGAAUGGUGAAAUCUUGGGGAUUCUUGAAGUUGAAUGUUGAAACUUAGGGUUUUUCUUGAGAGAAACUUUGAUGAAUAUAAGCAUAAAAUGCUUGUAAUAGGCUUCAAUCUUGAGUUUGGAUGGAAUUAGGGGUUUGGGAAUUAUCCAAAAUAUCCUUUUUAAACUCCAAAACAAAAUUGGAAAAAUUAACAGGGGUCCCAAUUUAAUGGUCCACCACGACGCGCCACUAUCGUAGUAGCUCACUAGAAUUUGACGACUGGAAAAUUAGGGGUCUCCAUGAUGUAGAGCUAUUGCGUUGUCCCCCUGGAUUUUGAAUAUUGGGACCUAGAACUUUAACAUGACGUGCCACCAUCUCGGUUCCCUAUAAAGAUGCCAUUUUGGCCUUCAGAAUGAUGCGCCACUGUAGCAUUGGACUACUAGAAUGUACUAGUGACUACGUCAAGAGAAUUUUCCUAAUAUUGGUGGGAAUGAAGAGCAUAUAAUCUAUUCGAAUGCUGACUACUGGUAGAACUGAAAGCGGCACCCUGCUGAGUCGAGCGAUUGAAUAGAACUGACGAAUGAUGGGACUGGCCCUGUUGGCACACAUCCCUACCCUUCUGAGUAACUACUCGACACUCUCGAAUCCGAUGGCCUAACUUUCCAUACCCAAAGAACACAUCACUACCCACUCUACACUCAACCUGAUGGUGUCUGCCACACUUCUAACAUAGAGGAUUGGUAUGAGCUCUAUUAACACUGACCUGGGACUUAGAGCCUGGUGCCCUAUCCCUAUUGUCAUUUAUGAAUUUGGGUACUGGAGCACUGGUAUAAUAGGGUGCUGGGGCUGAAGACCUCUGAUGAAACUGAGGAAGGUUACCACCUUCUGACUUUGGCUAAUUUAAAUUAAAACUAACUAUCCUAGCUUUCUUAUUUCCUCUCUCCCUCUCCUUAAUCUUUUGCUCUUCUAUCUAUUAAGGAUGGACCAUCAGCCUAGAUAAGUCCAUCUCACUAAUCAGCAUUGCAGUCCUGCACUCUUUGAACACACUAUCAGAUAUGCUAAACAUGAACUUACUCAUCUUGGAUCUGUUAUCAGCUACCAUAUGAGGAGCGUACCUAGCUAACUGAGUAACUUGAGGGAAUACUCCCUCACACUCAUGCUGCCUUGCCUCAAAUUAAUGAACUCUAACACUUUGGCCUCUCUCAACUCCAAUGGGAAGAAUUUGUAUAAGAAAGUUAUGGCAAACUCUUCUUAUUCUAUAGGCCCUACAUCUGCACCCCUAUCAACCUUCCACUUCUUAAACCAAGUAUGGGCUAUAUCCUGCAAUUGAUAUGUAGCCAACUUAUAACUCUUACUAGACGUCACCACCAUAGCAUUUGUUACCUUCUGAACCAUAUCUAAGAAUUCCUGUGGAUCCUCUUCAGACUUGGAUCUUGUGAAAAAAGGAGGAUUCAUUCGAGUAAAAUUCUGAAUUCUGGUUGCAGCAGUAUUGGCCACUGGCUUAGCCAGAACAGCAGCUGGCCAUUCAUUUUGUCCUGCUACUGAAUUGGCUAGACUAGUGAACACAGCUCUGGAUUCAUCUUGAGAGACAUGCUCAUCCAGAGGAUCUACCAGGAUGGGAUGAGGGGCUGGUUGAGUUCCUGUUCUUCUUUCGUUCUUCUUGGGAGACAUGUUUUAUAAUGGAAGGAAGAAGUGGAUUAGAAAGAGAGUUUAACUUGUUCAACUAAACAUGUUCAAGAAUUGUAAGAAUCAUCAUUCAAGGGAACAAAUAGAAUCCCAAAAGCAAACUUGUUCAUCUAUUUCAUCAUCCAAGGUAUGUGGGAUUUUGAGAAAGGAUAAAUCUUUCAUCCUUGUGCCCAAAAGCUUGCUUUAAAUUACAAAUUUGCUGAAUUUUGUAUGAUUUUCAUGAAAUUUAAGUUAGGGUUUAUACCCAAUGUUGCUAAUUGCAUGAUUUACAGAUUUUAAGUGAUUUGGAUAUUGAAUUACAUGUCUACUUUCAAAAAAUUAAUGCUUAUGGUCAUAUUUUCCAGAUUUUAAGUUGAAUUAUGAAUAUUUGUAUUAUCAAGCAUAAACUUUAUGGUGUUUGACAUGAAAUUGAAGCAUGGGUCAUUAAGCCCUAGUUUGUAUGUUGAUAUUUCAAGAAUGACUAUGUUUUAAGCAUUCCAUGAUUAGAUUUUUUUAUAUUUUGAUAAAGAAAGUUGAUCUUUUGAUCCAAGCAAAGAUAAGAAUCCACAUUAUUCAUACAAUUUAUGAUUUAAAGCUAAGAGAAGUAUAACUGGUUUUCAUUAUAAACCUUUGUGCUAUUUUAAGGUGAAUUUUCUAAAAGUUCUGAGCGUUAAGUAUGGGAGUAGUAUUUAGCACCGAGUUGGGUAUGAUUCCAAGGUCUCAUACCCCAGAACUAUGUGCCACCGUAGGUUUAUGAUUUGCCCAUAGUGGGCUAAGAUAGUGAUCACUUAAGUUAAGGUUGUAUUUCGAUGGCAAGGAUAGAACAGCUCUCCCCAAUGUGGGUAAGAUGUUGGAGUCCAUGUCAGCUCACAUGGUUUAUGUCAGUUAGAAGAAUCUCCCAAAAAGAUGUCCCCUACUCUUAAAAUAGUCUAUUGGUUUAAAGCCUCAAGAUGAAGUUUUUUCCUUACAGCUUUAUGGUAAAGUUGUUCCGAAUAGUUUCUCAGAAAAGAAUAACAGAAAGCUUUUAUAAAACUAAGUGUAAAGUCUCACAAAGCUUACUCAGAUUAUGCUUUACAGAAAGAUAUUAGUUUCAGAUUUCAAAAAAAGUGAGUCCUUUCUACACUUAGACAUUAUGAUUUAAAGAGAGAAUGCAAGUACAACUUUUAGAACUAAAUGUUAUGACUCAAUAGAUUUAUGAAGUAUGACUUGUUACUCAUGAUCUUCAGUAUUUUAGAUAUUCCAGCUUAUAUGAGUCAUUUACAUCUAGCAUGCAUUGUUUUACAAAUUAUGAUGAUUGAUAUUAUCUUUUACUUAUGCAUUCACCCUCAUAUACUCAGUACAUCCUCAAAGUACUGAUCCACACAUAUUUCUAUGUGCUAUAUUGUCUCAUAAUGUAGUUAUCAGUUCAGUUGUAGCACCCCCACACUAGGGCUGUUGGCCUUGACAUAAAUCUUACUGCUGCAAACACCUACAUUUUAUAUGACAAUAACUGGAAUUUGCAAAUGAAUCUACAGGCUAUGGAUCAGUGUCGUAGAAUAGGUCAUACAAAACCUAAUCAUGUUUAUAGGCUUUCAACUGCUCUCUCUGCAGAGGAUCAAAUGCUGAAAAGAGCUUUUAGCAAGUUGAAGCUUGAGCAUGUGGUGAUUGGAAAAAGAUAGUUUAAGCAGGAACGAAGUAAGACCUGCUACAGAUACUAUGGAGGAGAGUACUUUCUAGGGCUUUUGAGAGACGAUGACGUCGAAGAGGACAAGUUGAUGCAGAUAGGUAUUACUGAUAAGUAUCUACAGAGGAUCAUCCAAGUAAAGAUGUAAGCGUUGGAUCAAGUGCAGAUGUUCUUCCACUUAAAGGACCCAAUUAGGAAAUUUUUAUUCCAACAGCAAGCGGAGGCAUGCUUUCUACUCUCAACAGCUGAUACGGAGCUCAUAGGUGUGGUUCAUUUGCAGAAAUUAGAUGUUUUUGGGAACUAAGCAAGUGAGAAAAGAAGCAAGUGCAGCAAAAAUAAGAGAGAGUCACUUGAAUAUAAGAACUGUAAAAUGGAAGCAGGUCUUUACUUUGUAGUAAUAAAAUUCAAGUUGUGAGAAAUCGAUUGUUCCUACCAUCAAAUAUCCAACAUAAAAUGUACCAAAUUCCUUCAAUGUAAUAGUUUUUAACAUGUCACAUGGAAAGUUGUAAGUAAAGAGUUGCCAAAAGAUCAGAAAGAGAUAUUCUUUUUUUAAACGGUCUAAACAAGAAAAUAAGAUAAACAAACUGAAAUUGUGGACGUUAUGUUUUAUCGGUUUCAUAUAAGAAAAGAGUAAGUAUAUGAAAAAACAUUUGGUGGGGAGGUAUUUUUUAUUUUUUUGUAUUAUUCUUUGAUGGAAUCCUUUCAUAAUGAAAACUGAUUUGUAGUUCAGAAUUAGAUUUUUUGUUUCCUGUUUAACUCAUAAUGAUUGAAUUCUUUGCUUUGGUCCAAUAUUAAUAGAAAUGAUGCUACAUUUUUAUUUUACAAUCAUAAAUGGAGUAAUUGUAUUUAACUUGGAGAAUAAUGAUAUUAAGUUUUCUUAAUAUUGACUGCCAAGUGCAAGUGACCAUAGCUAUACAACUAAUGUUGAUAGCGGGUUUAUUUUUUCUCUUUGUGAAAAAGCUAAAUCUGUUAAUGACGAUUGUCAAUUUUACUCCACGAUGACAUAAAAAUAUAAGAUAAAUAAGGCAUUCAGAGGGCAUUAUACUAGCAUCAUUAUCCUUUAACAUCAUAUUGAUCAUAUGUAGCAGAAAAGUUUGUACUUCUAUAGCAAUCAUGAUCAAGACAGAUUUACAUUCAAACACAAAUCAAGAGCUUGCAAUAGAUUUUGUUAUUGUCUUCCUAUCGACAUAGUGGGAAGAAUAAUGAUUCAUCUAGCUGAAAAUGUUGCACAUAAAAAAAUGUGAAGAAUGACCUUCCAUAUGACAUGUUGUGUUUGGGGAUAUAGACUUCUCAUUUUAUUAAUUAUUUUUUAUAUGUAUCUGGUGGAAGAUAUUAAUACAACAACAACAACAAACCCAGUGUAUUCCCAUAUAGUGAGGUCUGGGGAGGGUAAGAUGUACGCAGUCCAUACCUCUACCUCUAAAGAAGUAGAAAGUUUGUUUUCGAUAGACCCCUGGCUCGAGACACGGAAUACUAAACAAAUUUAUAGUAAAGCAUGGAAUAAGAUUGGUGGAAGAUAUUAAUACGUAGUCAAAUGGGGCUAAAUUUUACCCCUUCAUAAAAUUACUCGAGCAAGUUGUUCUUUCUAUACUACAUGCUUUCUAUUUGGACAUUCGAUUGGUGCAACCACAGUGCUUAAGGUACUAAAUGAUAUUAUUGGUUUUAUCCUCAACUAUAUGUUAAAUUGGUAAUGAAGUGUUCUAUUGAAACCACUAAAAUAUUUUGUGAGUUAUUUGUUAAUUUAUUGAUACUUGCUCCACUUAUCAUUUUAAAAAAAUAUUUUAAUUUUUAAUAAAAAUCUUAUUUUGUUUGAGAUUUGGUAUGGUUUAAGCUUGGAAGACAAUGAGAAUAAAUGUUAAGUUGAAGAAGGAGAAGGAAUUUGUAACACCCGGCAUUUUCGAGCAAGAAAUCGAACUAUCGUUCCUACGUGUGUAAACUCUAAUCUCCUGAUUUAUAUUUUAGUUCAUGUAUCAUGUUUCAGACUCGGUAUGUAAUCAUGUUUCCAAUCAUGCAUGUUUAGUAUACGACCUUAUUUUCCUCAGUAGUCUCAGCCUAAACCAGUCUCAUUCGAGGACAAAUGUCCCCAAGGGGGAGAUAUUGUAAUACUACAUAAAAGUCUUAGCUCAUUUUAGUUCUCAGUUAAAUGUUUAAGGGGUCCAAGACUUGAAAAUUUCACUAAGUGUUGAGGACUUAGUUACUUUCAAGACCCCUAUACAUUAUGAAUUUUUAAAUCGACCUUCUCGACCACGAAAUGUUGGUUUUUAAGUUGAUUCGUGAUUAGGGGGUGAUAACGCUCAACUUACACCUCAAAUAAGUACAAGACAGUCUUCGUCAAUAUAUUUACCUAACUUUGGAGUCGGGGUCGAAUCCACGAGGAACAAUGUGACUGGAGAUCAAACUAAUUUAAAACUACAACUACAAGUUGAAUUUAAACAAAUGAUAGAAAAAGAUAAAAUUUGGGGGUUUUAAAUGGUUAAACAAAAGUUGAUAAACACUUCGAUUUAACAAUGUUAUGGGACACUAGAGUUAUGGUUACCAAGAUACUUACAUAGGUUGGGUUGCAAAUCACUUUAAAGUCCCAAUUGACACUUCAAUUGCAAGAAGAGUUGAAGCCUAUUAUUUACCCAUUCAUCUCUCGACCUCAGUAGGUAGUGUAUCCAUUAAUUCUCUCGAACUUAAAGGAUAUGUUUGCUAUUCAACUAUGUUCUCAUAUGUUCUCAUGUAGGCAAAUCCGGUUAAGGCAUUUUCCAUUAAACUAAAGAUUAAAGUAAAGAUUAAAAUCUUUCGAGUUCAUGUAAACUCUUUCUUUUCCCACAUACACUUUCCUCUCAGACAAGUGAUGUUCUUGGGCUCACCUUUCAAGUUGCAACUAAGAGAGAUUGUUACAUUGCUCGACAAACACUUUCCUCUCGGACAAGUGAUUGUUUCAUUGAAUUAACCUAAAAAACACUUUCCUCUCAGACAAGUGAUGUUUGUAGUGCUGACUCUAUUAAGUUGCAGCCAAAAAAAAUCAUUAAAAUAAAGAAAGGUUUAUACAACAUCAAUUUCUUAUGGACAUACAUUAGAUUCACAACCAAAAUUAGUAUUCACAUCAAGGUUCCCAUAACUCAAGUAAAGAAAAUUAGCUAUUCAUGAUACAAAAAAAAAAAUUACAAGAAUGUUAGGAACCCUCAAUGAGAGAUUUAUCUCCUUUUUCCCCCCUCAAUAAAACUCUAAAAUAUGCCAUUUAUACUAAAGCCUAAUUAAGGAAAUAAAAUAACAAAAUUAAUAAAAUUCUCAAAAUUGGUGACACCCUGGCUGACGCUACGUCAAGGUCUGACGCCUUAUCUCGAAUGGCGUCAGAUUAGCUCCAGUUGUCUUUAAGUUCUGUCUAUGACUGACGAUGAAUCUGACGCUCUAACGCUGCAUCAAGGAUCUGACGGUAUAUCACCAACGUCGUCAGAUGUCUUGUCCUAUUGCUGAUUUUCUACUUAAGGUUGACGCCAUUCUUGAUGCUUUAUUACAAAUUUGAUGCCACAUCACCAAUGUCGUCAGAAUUGCUUCUCAGACUGCAACUCUCUGGUUAAGGCUGACGCCAAUGCUGAUAGUCUAUCACAAGGCUGACGACUUAUCACGGUUGUCGUCAGCCAUGUUUUUAGCUCUUUUUGCUCAUAUUUUAGCUCUCCUACUCCAUUGUUAUUUAUUUCCAUACAUAUUGACUUUCCUACAAAAUUUUAAGAAAUAACAUCAAAAACACCAAUAAUUACUUAAGAACUUACAAUUAUUUCAAGUUAAAAAGUCCUAAAUGUGCUACAAAAAUCUAGCACAUCAGGGGGUAAAAAGUACAUAUCAAGUGAGUAUAAGAACUUUCAGACAACUGUAGGGGCAUGUUUGGAAAAUGAAAGAAGUAGCACUACCAGGGAAGGCCCGCGUCACCCACUAAAAUCCGCCUCUCUAAAGUGGGCGUCGCCCGAUCUAGUCUCCCACUCUAAGGUGGGCAUCGCCGGGGGUAGUCCGCUGCUCUAAGGCCUGCAUCACCCCUUACCCUUUUUUUCGGGUUUUGUCUCUUGUCUUUUUAAGGGUAUUUGGGUCAUUUUUUUUCACACAACUCAUCCAUAAACAUGAAUUGGUGCUCCUAAGGAGCAUUAUUUUCCCUUUUACUUAUGAAUCCUCUCAAGAGAAAACCCUUCUUUUUCCUCAAGAACAAAAUCCAAAAUCCUUUUCCCCAAGAAUCCAAGGAAUUUAAGCUUUCUUCUCCAAAUCAAGAAGCUUAGGUACGUGGGACUAUCCUAAAUCUCAAGUCCAUAUAUUUUAUGAUUUUAACAAGUUAUAAAGAUAUAUAUGUACAUAUAUAUAAAGGAGUUUUGGAAAUCAUUUAAAGACAAAGCAUCAUAAACCCGUUUUUAUGAAAGUACGUAAUUAUGAUGGGGGGUUUUCAUAAACUUGAUUUAUAAUCUUGUGCAUACAUGAUUUGAGUUCGAAAAGUGAUUUAUGAAUGUGACUUGUGAAAUUUCCUUAUCCAUGAUAAAAUUUAUGGUCUUUGCAUGGUAUGCAUUGUGAAUUGGGUUUGAUAUUAUGAAGUAUAAGCCCUAAUUUUAUCAUGAAAUUUACUUAUAAACAAUGUUGGGAUUGUUUUUAUGAAUGAAGAUGAUUCUUGAGUUUAAAUUCUUCUUCACUUGUUAUGGAUGGUUAUUUCAUGUGUUUUUCAUAGAGGUGAUUUUUAUUCUAAAUGCUAUGGUUUCCUAAUGAAGAAACUGCAUGUGAUUAAUGAGUGAAUUGGCUACUGCAUGUUUAAGUCUUUAAAAGAGAGUGUGUUUACAUGAGUUUGCACAUGUUUUUGAUAUAAGAACUCUCUUAUGAUUUGAUAAAAUCUCUGGGUGGUCAUAUGUAUGUUUUUGAAUGAAAAGGGCGGAUAUGAUGUGGUAUGCUAAAAAUGACUUGCAAGUUUGGGUAUAACGAUACCCGGAGAUGAUAUGCUCUUAAUAGAAUAAGCAUUGAAUAAUUUAUGAGCAUGAAGCAUGGUUUUAAAGAACUAAAAAUGGGCUUGAAUAGAGCUAGUUGGUUACCCGAAGAAGGAUUGAUUUCAAAUAACUCAUAGCCCGAAAUCUUAUUUUGCUGAUACGGGUUUAUUAUGUCCCAAAUUAGGAAUUAUACGCUGGCGAUGGACUUAUGGAGUAGUAGAAAAUAGAGACUCCAAUCCUUGCAGCACACUUAGAUUGAGGGCUUGGCCGCCUAGUCAAGGGCGGAUUCCAUAUAGCCCGUGGGAUCAUAGAAAUGUAGGGUGUACCAUCUAGCUCAGAGGUAAAGCAAAAAGUUGAGUCAUGAUUAUGAAAAAAUGUUUCGUAGCUUGUCAAAUUAUGCCAAUGUGUUUAUGUAUAUUGUAACACCCCAAAAAAUGGGUCCCGGAGCGUCACACGGUGCUUGAGCCUAUGAGUAGCCCCAAGCUAACCCUUUGAGCCAUUUUCAUUCAGUUCAACACAAAUCAAUGGGGUUUCCAUAAAUAACCCUCAAAUAUCAACAGAGUAAUCAUCAUCCAAUAAUAAAAGAAUUUCAAAAAGAUAACAAAAUACAACUUAUUAGUCANNNNNNNNNNNNNNNNNNNNNNNNNNNNNNNNNNNNNNNNNNNNNNNNNNNNNNNNNNNNNNNNNNNNNNNNNNNNNNNNNNNNNNNNNNNNNNNNNNNNNNNNNNNNNNNNNNNNNNNNNNNNNNNNNNNNNNNNNNNNNNNNNNNNNNNNNNNNNNNNNNNNNNNNNNNNNNNNNNNNNNNNNNNNNNNNNNNNNNNNNNNNNNNNNNNNNNNNNNNNNNNNNNNNNNNNNNNNNNNNNNNNNNNNNNNNNNNNNNNNNNNNNNNNNNNNNNNNNNNNNNNNNNNNNNNNNNNNNNNNNNNNNNNNNNNNNNNNNNNNNNNNNNNNNNNNNNNNNNNNNNNNNNNNNNNNNNNNNNNNNNNNNNNNNNNNNNNNNNNNNNNNNNNNNNNNNNNNNNNNNNNNNNNNNNNNNNNNNNNNNNNNNNNNNNNNNNNNNNNNNNNNNNNNNNNNNNNNNNNNNNNNNNNNNNNNNNNNNNNNNNNNNNNNNNNNNNNNNNNNNNNNNNNNNNNNNNNNNNNNNNNNNNNNNNNNNNNNNNNNNNNNNNNNNNNNNNNNNNNNNNNNNNNNNNNNNNNNNNNNNNNNNNNNNNNNNNNNNNNNNNNNNNNNNNNNNNNNNNNNNNNNNNNNNNNNNNNNNNNNNNNNNNNNNNNNNNNNNNNNNNNNNNNNNNNNNNNNNNNNNNNNNNNNNNNNNNNNNNNNNNNNNNNNNNNNNNNNNNNNNNNNNNNNNNNNNNNNNNNNNNNNNNNNNNNNNNNNNNNNNNNNNNNNNNNNNNNNNNNNNNNNNNNNNNNNNNNNNNNNNNNNNNNNNNNNNNNNNNNNNNNNNNNNNNNNNNNNNNNNNNNNNNNNNNNNNNNNNNNNNNNNNNNNNNNNNNNNNNNNNNNNNNNNNNNNNNNNNNNNNNNNNNNNNNNNNNNNNNNNNNNNNNNNNNNNNNNNNNNNNNNNNNNNNNNNNNNNNNNNNNNNNNNNNNNNNNNNNNNNNNNNNNNNNNNNNNNNNNNNNNNNNNNNNNNNNNNNNNNNNNNNNNNNNNNNNNNNNNNNNNNNNNNNNNNNNNNNNNNNNNNNNNNNNNNNNNNNNNNNNNNNNNNNNNNNNNNNNNNNNNNNNNNNNNNNNNNNNNNNNNNNNNNNNNNNNNNNAUUCAAAAUAUCUCAAAUAUUCAACAUCAACAUGCUUAUAACACACACUUUCUCAAAAAAACACAAUUUCCAAUGGGGAUACACGACUCAAAUAUCAAAAUCAUGAUAAAUAUCAUUCAAGAUUCAUGCUUUAUAUAUCCACACAUAUAAAUUCACCUUUCAAAAUCAUAAACAUCAAGAUUUCAUAAUAAUCAUCAUAAGAUAUGGGUUCAUGCUUGAAAUUCGUAAAAAUCAAAUAAAAAUCAUGCCUUUGUAAAGAAAAUUACUUUUGGGCACAAGAAGGAAAGAGAGUUCUUGUUGAAAAACCCCACAUACCUUG